rnacentral:rRNA from 1 species
GAGUAGCUUGCUACUCUGCCGGCGAGCGGCGGACGGGUGAGUAAAGUCUGGGGAUCUGGCUUAUGGAGGGGGAUAACCAUUGGAAACGGUGGCUAAUACCGCAUGAUGUCGCAAGACCAAAGUGGGGGACUUUAGGGCCUCACGCCAUAAGAUGAACCCAGAUGAGAUUAGCUAGUAGGUGCGGUAAUGGCGUACCUAGGCGACGAUCUCUAGCUGGUCUGAGAGGAUGACCAGCCACACUGGAACUGAGAGACGGUCCAGACUCCUACGGGAGGCAGCAGUGGGGAAUAUUGCACAAUGGGCGGAAGCCUGAUGCAGCCAUGCCGCGUGUGUGAAGAAGGCCUUAGGGUUGUAAAGCACUUUCAGCGGGGAGGAAGGCGGUAAGAGUAAUAUGCUUAUCGAUUGACGUUACCCGCAAAAGAAGCACCGGCUAACUCCGUGCCAGCAGCCGCGGUAAUACGGAGGGUGCGAGCGUUAAUCGGAAUAACUGGGCGUAAAGGGCAUGUAGGCGGUAAGUAAGUCAGAUGUGAAAUCCCCGAGCUUAACUUGGGAACGGCAUUUGAGACUGGCUGGCUAGAGUUUUGUAGAGGGGGGUAGAAUUCCAGGUGUAGCGGUGAAAUGCGUAGAGAUCUGGAGGAAUACCGGUUGCGAAGGCGGCCCCCUGGACAAGGACUGACGCUGAGGUGCGAAAGCGUGGGUAGCAAACAGGAUUAGAUACCCUGGUAGUCCACGCUGUAAACGAUGUCGAUUUGGAGGUUGUGGCCUAGUGUUAUGGCGUCCGAAGCUAACGCGAUAAAUCGACCGCCUGGGGAGUACGGCCGCAAGGUUAAAACUCAAAUGAAUUGACGGGGGCCCGCACAAGCGGUGGAGCAUGUGGUUUAAUUCGAUGCAACGCGAAGAACCUUACCUACUCUUGACAUCCACGGAAUUGAGCAGAGAUGCUUAAGUGCCUUCGGGAGCCGUGAGACAGGUGCUGCAUGGCUGUCGUCAGCUCGUGUUGUGAAAUGUUGGGUUAAGUCCCGCAACGAGCGCAACCCUUGUCCUUUGUUGCCAGCACGUGAUGGUGGGAACUCAAAGGAGACUGCCGGUGAUAAACCGGAGGAAGGUGGGGAUGACGUCAAGUCAUCAUGGCCCUUACGAGUAGGGCUACACACGUGCUACAAUGGCUCAUACAAAGAGCGGCGAGCGUGCGAACGUAAGCGAACCUCAUAAAGUGCGUCGUAGUCCGGAUUGGAGUCUGCAACUCGACUCCAUGAAGUCGGAAUCGCUAGUAAUCGUGGAUCAGAAUGCUACGGUGAAUACGUUCCCGGGCCUUGUACACACCGCCCGUCACACCAUGGGAGUGGGCGGCAAAAGAAGUAGGUAGCUUAACCUUCGGGGGGGCGCUUACCACUUUGUGGUUCAUGACUGGGGUGAAGUCGUAACAAGGUAACCGUA